rnacentral:rRNA from 1 species
CAGGGAUGCCUUAGUACGGCGAGUGAGCGGCAAAAGCUCAAAUUUGAAAUCUGGUACCUUCGGUGCCCGAGUUGUAAUUUGUAGAAGGUAACUUUGGGGCUGGUCCUUGUCUAUGUUCCUUGGAACAGGACGUCAUAGAGGGUGAGAAUCCCGUGUGGCGAGGAUCCCAGUUCUUUGUAAAGUGCUUUCGAAGAGUCGAGUUGUUUGGGAAUGCAGCUCUAAGUGGGUGGUAAAUUCCAUCUAAAGCUAAAUAUUGGCGAGAGACCGAUAGCGAACAAGUACAGUGAUGGAAAGAUGAAAAGAACUUUGAAAAGAGAGUGAAAAAGUACGUGAAAUUGUUGAAAGGGAAGGGCAUUUGAUCAGACAUGGUGUUUUGCGCCCUCUGCUCCUUGUGGGUGGGGGAAUCUCGCAGCUCACUGGGCCAGCAUCAGUUUUGGCGGCAGGAUAAAUCUGCAGGAAUGUAGCUUGCCUCGGUAAGUGUUAUAUCCUGUAGAAAUACUGCCAGCUGGGACUGAGGACUGCGACUUUACGUCAAGGAUGCUGGCAUAAUGGUUAUAUGCCGCCCGUCUUGAACCACGGACCA